UACAGAGGGGGCAAGCGUUGUUCGGAAUUACUGGGCGUAAAGGGCGCGUAGGCGGCAUGCCAAGCGUGUGGUGAAAGCCCGGGGCUCAACCCCGGGUCGGCCGUGCGGACUGGCGUGCUUGAGCACUGUAGGGGCGGGUGGAAUUCCGGGUGUAGCGGUGAAAUGCGUAGAUAUCCGGAGGAACACCGGUGGCGAAGGCGGCUUCCUGGACCGAUACUGACGCUGAGGCGCGAAAGCUAGGGGAGCAAACAGG
rnacentral:rRNA from 1 species